AUUGAACGCUGGCGGCAUGCUUUACACAUGCAAGUCGAACGGCAGCGCGGGCUUCGGCCUGGCGGCGAGUGGCGAACGGGUGAGUAAUACAUCGGAACGUGCCCAGUAGUGGGGGAUAGCUCGGCGAAAGCCGGAUUAAUACCGCAUACGACCUGAGGGUGAAAGCGGGGGAUCUUCGGACCUCGCGCUAUUGGAGCGGCCGAUGGCAGAUUAGCUAGUUGGUGGGGUAAAGGCCUACCAAGGCGACGAUCUGUAGCUGGUCUGAGAGGACGACCAGCCACACUGGGACUGAGACACGGCCCAGACUCCUACGGGAGACAGCAGUGGGGAAUUUUGGACAAUGGGCGAAAGCCUGAUCCAGCAAUGCCGCGUGUGUGAUGAAGGCCUUCGGGUUGUAAAGCACUUUUGGCGGGAACGAAAAGGACUGUGCCAAUACCACGGUUCGAUGACGGUACCCGCAGAAUAAGCACCGGCUAACUACGUG
rnacentral:rRNA from 1 species